CCUAGGAUAGGAUUUAACACCAUCUGUUCUGUAUAACAUUUGGAACUAACUUCAUAAUUAUAAUAAACAUCUACAUUAGAAAUUCCUCUACCACCAAGCGCUAUGAGCGAAUUAUAAAUAAGAUUUUAUUUGCUCCAAAGAUGAGCAACUCAGGAUUCUUUGUUAUAGACCCUAAACCCAGAUAAAAAUUAAAAUCUCAAA
rnacentral:lncRNA from 1 species